AUAUGUGAGAGUUGUCAGUUUGUUGUCUCCUCCUCUGUUUCCCUGGAUACCUUCUGUUAACCCCGCCCCAAGUUCCUAUCCAUCACCCACUGACCCUCCCCUUUUUCCAGAAAGUUCUCCCCUCAACAGUGGGUGAUUGGACCAGGAGCAAGAGUCCCUCCCUACUACCUUACCUAUUCGCUGGCCAGUGUGUCUAUUAUGAUUUUGCUCCCUUCUAAGUUCCUCCUCAUUGGUUACUGUAUUGUCCCCACCCUUUAGUUCCACCCCCUUUAUAUACUAUUGUAUCCCCCUUGCUCCUGGUCUUCUCUUGCCUGGCUCCCCCGUGCAGAAUAAGCCUUCAGACUUUGCCUGCGAGAGGAGUCCUUCUUUUCUUCAUCUGCUUCGCCUGUUUGCUGCUUACUGCUGUCUCCUGCUGAGGUGCUCUCCGGAUGCCCCUGGUGCAUCUGGGAAGUGCCCCCCCCCCCGUUGUCAGCUGCUGUGCCCCAGCUCAGCCGGUGCAGUCUCCUCCCCUAGCUGGGGGAUUAGAGGAUUUAGGCAGCAGCGUGGCAUUUUAAUGGACAGUUCUUCUAGUUGUCUUUGUAUAUAUUUGUUGUAUUGUUUUCUUAUGGUAGCAAUAACAAUAACUAUAACAGUCGGGAUAGAUUUAAAUAGUUCUUUUUCCCUUACUGAGCACUGUGCUCCAUGAAUGGCUUCCUAAAUAUAAUUUAGCACCCUUUACUCUGUCUGGGAUACUCUGUUAAUUGCUUAUGAGGGCAAGAAGACUGAGAUGUCUUUUAUAUUACUGGUCCUUGAGUUACAAAUUUUCUUUUCCCUUAGAUGACAUCCAUCAGACAAGGUCUCGCCAGAAAAUUAGUUAAGCUGGGCAGGUACUCUUCCUUGUCAAGAAAGAGAAUAAUGCCCUGCAGAAGUCAUGCAUCUACCUAUACUUCCACCUCUUGGGCCCAAGUUUGUCUAUGAUUGCAGAGAAAUUUUAAACAAACCAUGUAAAUAAAUAAAACUUCUGGGUGAUUAUGGGAAGAUGAAUCCAGCAUUAUUUUUCAAUUCAUCUGUAGAAAAUUGAAGGAUGUUCUCACUUUUUUUUCUCUAAAUGACAUUACAAGAGGUGAUAAUAUAAAUAAUGAGAAAAUAAUUUUAAUGGAACUAAGAGCUGCAGAAUUAUAUCAUGGCUUGUAGAAUUACUGUAUCAGAAAAUUUAGUUGGUUAAGAUGUCACCUACAAAAAUGAAUUAUUACAAAUUCACUUUACAGUGAUCACAUUCCAAGGCACCACUGCUAAGAUCUUGUUCUUUGGUUGUGUACAAGGAGAAUUUUAAAAUUCAUGGAGUUGCCAUGUAGAUUUGUGCUCUGAUUUUAACAGCUGCAGAAGUGAUUUUGCUUCUUCCUCUAUCAUACGAGGGGUCACCUCUGAUGACCUUUUCACUGCAUCCUCCCAUUUGGUAAAGAGAUUGGUUUGUAAGGACUUUAUUCAAGAUCAAGCUCGCUCCUUCCCUUCCUUCAAAUUAUUCUGUUUUAUUGUGGACAAAGAACUAUCACCACAGGUGGCAGUGAAAACAAAAACAUGCUUCCUUUAUCAAAGUUCAAGAAAACCAACUGAACAUUUCCCCUUUUUGUUAUUAAAAUAGAUGCUUAACCAAUUUUAAGGUCAGGAAAUCUCCAGUGUUCUGGAAUUUAUCUUCUGAUUUCUCUAGGCUUGUAGAACAUAAAGUGUCUUGUCAAGUCCAUGCAUGCAUAAAACAUUAUUUUUUGGAAAAAGAAAAACUUAUAAAUAAUAUAACAUACAGCUACAAAUACAUGUUUAUAUUAGUGUAUUGAGAGCGAUCAAUGCUAACAGAAAAUCCACCUGAAUGGAAUAUUAAGUUUUUGGUAGCAGGGGGACCGCAGAGGUGGCUUCCAAUCUUUCACCACAUCUGGCAGAGCCAAUCUCUGAUGGCUCCAUCAAUGGAUGUGCUGCUGGACCAAUUGGCUGGACCAAUUUGAAAUGGUGGUAAUGCCUCCGUGAUAACAUAUUUAAGAUAAAAUCAAAACAAAACAGUGUGUUGCAGUGUUAUUUCCAGUCAGAGAAGAGAGAGAACAUGUGAGAUGAAUAACUCUGCAGACACAAAGGUCAGGGGAGAAGCAGGGGGAGGAGCUGCUCCAGGCACUGGAGCUGAGAUUCCUCUGCAGGCCAUGGUGAGACCAUGGUGAAGCAGCUGUGCCCCUGCAGCCCUUGGGGAUCCAGGAGGUUGCAGAAGUCCACCCUCAGCGCAUGGGGAUCCACAGGGGAUGCAGAGAUCCACCCUCAGCCUGUGGGGGAGUUUCCCAUGCCAGAGCCGGAUGCCUGGGGGAGGCUGUUAUCCAAUGGUGAUCCCCUGGUGGAGAGAGGGGUCCCUGCUCCCAGGCUGGAGCAGCCUGUCCUUGGAGGACUGCACUCCAUGGAGGAGUGACCCAUGUUGCAGCAGUUUUGGGAGGACUGUGUGCCCAUGAGAGGCACUCACAUGUCAGCAAUUUAGAGAGGACUGUUGCUCAUGAGAUGGACUCAAGUUACAAGUUCAUGGAGAAUUGUUUCCUGUGGGACUCUACACUAUAGCAUAGGAACAACGCCUCUCCCUGAGCAGCAGGAGAAGCCUGUGUGUUGAACUGAUCAUCACUCCCAUUUCCUGUCCCCUUGCACUGCUGGGAAGGAGAGAGAUGUGGGGGGAAUGUGCUUUUAAAGGGCUUAUUUUACUUCUCAUUGUCAUGCUCUGACUUUGUUAGUAAAAAACAUCACUUUAUAUCUCUAAGUUAAGCCUGUUUUGCCUGUAAUGGUGAUGAGUGAUCUUUCUCCUGGUCCUUAACUCAGAAAUCCUCUGUUAAUUUUUUUUUCUUCUUCUCCGGUUACAGAGGGGAGUGAAUGAGCAGAUUUCAUGGCUGCCUGGCAUCCUGCAAGCCAUGAUAGUUUUGAGCAGAUUUUUACAAUAGUUGUCUGAAGAGAAAAUGAAGAAUUAAUUAAUGCUGAAAGGUUUAAAGUGUUUUCUUCCUUUUUCUUUCUUCUUUUAUUUUUUAAAUGUUACUUUGGCUGAUUAAUUUCCCUCAGGAAUGCAUUUUCUAAUCUGGGUAAAAGCUUUUCAACUUUUAAAAUAAUUUUGCCAUGACUUUAGAUCACGUAACUGUUGAAGGUGUACCUACAAAACAGAAGAUAUAAUUGAAACUCAGCAAAGUAUUUUGUUCAGGAUCCUUCACAAUUUCUUGGCUAUGGUUCAUUCCCAUUUUGAUUUCUUUAACAGUAAACUUCCUUUGUUUAAAUAAAAAUGGUCUCAAAAGUGGUAAUAACCAGUUUUAAAUCCAACAAAGAUGAGGAUUGUGAGGGUAUGUAGCAAAAUUGUGUCUUUAUUUUCUGACAAUAAAAGUGAAAUUUUGAUCCAAUAUAUCCUGACAACUAGAAAA